UGACGGUACCUGACUAAGAAGCCCCGGCUAACUACGUGCCAGCAGCCGCGGUAAUACGUAGGGGGCAAGCGUUAUCCGGAUUUACUGGGUGUAAAGGGUGCGUAGGUGGUAUGGCAAGUCAGAAGUGAAAUGCGGGGGCUCAACCCCUGAACUGCUUUUGAAACUGUCAAACUAGAGUGCAGGAGAGGAAAGCGGAAUUCCUAGUGUAGCGGUGAAAUGCGUAGAUAUUAGGAGGAACACCAGUGGCGAAGGCGGCUUUCUGGACUGUAACUGACACUGAGGCACGAAAGCGUGGGGAGCAAACAGGAUUAGAUACCCUG
rnacentral:rRNA from 1 species